CAAUAGCGUAUAUUAAAGUUGUUGCAGUUAAAAGCUCGUAGUUGGAUUUCGGAGUGGGCCAGUUGGUCCGCCGCAAGGUGUGUUACUGACUGGUUUGCUCUUCUUCGCAAAGACUGCGUGUGCCCUUAAAUGAGUGUGCGUAGGAUUUACGACGUUUACUUUGAAAAAAUUAGAGUGUUCAAAGCAGGCGCUUCGCCUGAAUAAUGUUGCAUGGAAUAAUGGAAUAGGACCUCGGUCUAUUUUGUUGGUUUUCGGAACUUGAGGUAAUGAUUAAGAGGGACAGACGGGGGCAUUCGUAUUAACGCGUCAGAGGUGGAAUUCUUAGAUUGCGUUACGACGAACUACUGCGAAAGCAUUUGCCAAGGAUGUUUUCAUUGAUCAAGAACGAAAGUAUGGGGAUCGAAGACGAUUAGAU
rnacentral:rRNA from 1 species